AGCAGCCGCGGUAAUUCCAGCUCCAAUAGCGUAUAUUAAAGUUGUUGCAGUUAAAAAGCUCGUAGUUGAAUUUCGAGAUCAAUUUUCUUGGUCAUACCUUUGUAUGUACUGGUCUUAUUGAUUUCUCCCUUCUGAUGAACCAUGAUGUCAUUAAUUUGGUGUUAUGGGGAAUCAGGACUAUUACUUUGAAAAAAUUAGAGUGUUUAAAGCAGGCUCACGCUUGAAUACAUUAGCAUGGAAUAAUGAAAUAGGACGUUUGAUUCUAUUUUGUUGGUUUCUAGGAUUGACGUA
rnacentral:rRNA from 1 species